CUUAAGCAUUACGACAUGUUCCUUGUCAUAUAUAAAUAUAUAUUCAUGACAUUUUAAUACUGUGUUUCGUUCAAGCAGUGGGAACCAGACGAACCACCUUCGGAACGUGACUUUCCCCUGCUUAAGAUUUUUGCGAGUCCGCCGCCUGAGAAUUCUGUAUUUAUUGAAGGAUCCCAUCUGGGUUUCUCAUCUGGUGAUUCUUCAAUUUUCUUCUUUAUUUAAUUU